rnacentral:misc_RNA from 1 species
GUUUUCUCCACUGUAGGUAACAUAGAGGAAGCCGUCAUCGUCCUUCUUCUCAUCGUAGAUUGCAGACAUGAUUGCCCCUGUUGGCGGUAGCACAUUGUCAAUAAAUAUGAAUAUUGCCUUUUCUGCACUCAAUUUGAUUCUUUUGCGAAUGACAUAGACAAAUUGCCCAACUGUCAAGUCAGCUGGCACAAGAUACUUUUUCUUAUCGAUGUUGGGAAUAUCACUUUUUUCAGCCUUCUCAACUAUUACCGGAAUCCUAUCUGCGUAUUUUUCCCUAAUCCUAGCAGCCUCAGCUCGCCUUUUCUCAAGAUCAUGUUCUUGCUUGAAUGAGCUCUUAGCCAUUUUUCCUUUUGUGAUAAUAUGAUGGUCAAUAGAGAGAAAAAGAAGAUAAAGAAUGAAGGUUGAGUAAUUCACGACUUUGCUUUUGC